UGUAAAAAUCAUCUAUUUAAUUACUAUAUUUAUUAUAAAAGCUUAAUUACAUAUUUUGAAUAUUGUAUAUUCAGUUUAAAUUAUUACUUGCAAACCUUACUUUUAUGUAUAGUAAUAUUCACGUUAUUUUCUAUGAAUAUUCAUUAGGGAUUUACUUAAAUCAUUGUAUUUGAUUGGCUGUUAAUAUUUCGCGGUCAAGUUUAAUUUCCUUUGUUUUGUACCUGUACAUUUCCACGGGACGAUAGCCAUGACAGUCCAUUGAAUUUAUGUCUGUUUAUAUUGACCACAUAGUUUACCUGUAAACCUUAUAUAUUUUGGACAACAUUAUUAUAGAAUACUGUAAGUUACUUCUUUAUUAACAUUAUUUAUAUUUUUCACGUAAAUGAUAUUUUUAGUAAAGUUUCUAUUUUGCUUUGUAACGUUCUCCUCAUAUCGCAUGUAUGUAACACAAGUACACGAGAUGUACAUGAUAGUAUUUUAUUAAGCUAGAAGUAUAUGAUUUUAUAAUCUACGGUUUAUUUGCCACGGUAGAAUUGUAUUGUUAAUUUGCGUACAUUACUAUUUGAUUAUUGUCAUCAUGAAUAGUCUAUAUUUUUAUAAAUGGACGGCUUAUUAAGUGAAAGACGGAAAAGUGUUUCCAUUUAUAUAAAGUAAUAGUUUUGUAGUAAAUAGUUUUUAUCAAGUACAAAUAUGAAUGAGUAAAGAAUAUUUGUUACGUUGUAUAUUUUUAUAAUUAGAGUCCGAGUAUUUAUGUUCGUAUUUUGGUUUCAGGACUCCAUGUAAUGUAAUUAUGUAGAACACAUGAUUGUGUGAUGUUGUAUAUGAUGUGCCGUUAACCGUAUCAGUACAACUCACUCCACAAGUGGUAAGAGUAUAUUUAUUUAUAGUUUAGCAUUGUUUAUAUUGUAUUGUAAACAUGACUUACCUCCCGUUAAUUUGGAGCUUUUAACGAAUCGAUAAUAUUGACAUCAUAAGUCUUUAUGAUUAUUAUAUUUGCAACUUUAUGAUUGUUGUAUGAUAUUAUGUAGUUAAUUAUUAUACGUAUUAUAUAUUUUAAUGAAGUCAUUAUUAAUAAAUGUAGAUGUAACAUUUAUUAUAUACCGUUUGUUAGGUAAACCAGUAUUGAAUACAAAUACACAGAUACACGUAAAUCUCAAGGCACUCUCCGAUGUAGUGUAGAGUUAAAGGUCAAGCAUUUGUAAAAGUACACGUGACACCCGAUGUCAAUUUCAUUGAAUGUAAACAUUGAACAUUCUCUACUUGCAAUACAUUUUACUUGCUACUUAGUUAAUAACAGGUAAAGGUAUUAUUUAUUAUAAUUCUGUAUUAUAUAACCUGUGA
rnacentral:lncRNA from 1 species